ACCGAUAGAGGUGCGGCAAAGAUGAUUACCGCAGCAGAGACCCGCCGGUCGCUUGAUGCUGUGGGAAAGGCGAUGCUGCCGAAGAACGCAUAGCUGCAGGCAGGCUGUGGUUCUGGUUGCAGGGUGAACAAUUCUGUGACUGUCAUCAUUGUCAUGAUGGAGCGCUAUCC
rnacentral:ncRNA from 1 species